CUACGGGAUGCUCCAGUGGGGAAUUUUGCGCAAUGGGGGAAACCCUGACGCAGCAAUACCGCGUGAGUGAAGAAGGCCUUUGGGUCGUAAAGCUCUUUUCUAAAGGAAGAUAGUGACGGUACUUUAGGAAUAAGCACCGGCUAACUCCGUGCCAGCAGCCGCGGUAAUACGGAGGGUGCAAGCGUUGUUCGGAUUUACUGGGCGUAAAGGGCGCGUAGGCGGCCUGGCAAGUUACGGGUGAAAUCCCGGGGCUCAACCCCGGAACUGCUCGUAAAACUGCCAAGCUAGAGAUGGUCAGAGGCGGGUGGAAUUCCAGGUGUAGAGGUGAAAUUCGUAGAUAUCUGGAGGAACACCGGUGGCGAAGGCGGCCCGCUGGGGCCAUUCUGACGCUGAGGCGCGAAAGCGUGGGGAGCGAACGGGAUUAGAUACCCCAGUAGUC
rnacentral:rRNA from 1 species